UAACGCGAAGAACCUUACCAGGUCUUGACAUCCUUUGAAGCUUUUAGAGAUAGAAGUGUUCUCUUCGGAGACAAAGUGACAGGUGGUGCAUGGUCGUCGUCAGCUCGUGUCGUGAGAUGUUGGGUUAAGUCCCGCAACGAGCGCAACCCUUAUUGUUAGUUGCCAGCAUUCAGAUGGGCACUCUAGCGAGACUGCCGGUGACAAACCGGAGGAAGGCGGGGACGACGUCAGAUCAUCAUGCCCCUUAUGACCUGGGCUACACACGUGCUACAAUGGCGUAUACAACGAGUUGCCAACCCGCGAGGGUGAGCUAAUCUCUUAAAGUACGUCUCAGUUCGGAUUGUAGUCUGCAACUCGACUACAUGAAGUCGGAAUCGCUAGUAAUCGCGGAUCAGCACGCCGCGGUGAAUACGUUCCCGGGUCUUGUACACACCG
rnacentral:rRNA from 1 species